rnacentral:rRNA from 1 species
UCCAGACUCCUACGGGAGGCAGCAGUGGGGGAUAUUGCACAAUGGAGGAAACUCUGAUGCAGCGACGCCGCGUGAGGGAAGACGGUCUUCGGAUUGUAAACCUCUGUCUUUGGGGAAGAAAGUGACGGUACCCAAAGAGGAAGCUCCGGCUAACUACGUGCCAGCAGCCGCGGUAAUACGUAGGGAGCGAGCGUUGUCCGGAUUUACUGGGCGUAAAGGGAGCGUAGGCGGCCUGCCAAGUCUGAUGUGAAAUACCGGGGCUCAACCCCGGGGCUGCAUUGGAAACUGGCAGGCUGGAGUGCCGGAGAGGCAGGCGGAAUUCCUAGUGUAGCGGUGAAAUGCGUAGAUAUUAGGAGGAACACCAGUGGCGAAGGCGGCCUGCUGGACGGUGACUGACGCUGAGGCUCGAAAGCGUGGGGAGCAAACAGGAUUAGAUACCCGAGUA